rnacentral:ncRNA from 2 species
AAUAAGCAUACAGGAUAAAGUUAUGGAAGAUGGGUGAGAUUCCCACACAAGGCCGUUACUGUGAUUCAUUGAUAUUUUCUAACAGAUGCCACUGAGAAAUUGGGAAGGCGUUAGAAUAUUGCUUUUGCAUAGGUGAUAAGUCAGGAUACUUGCUUUAUUCGGUCAUGAAUA